rnacentral:misc_RNA from 1 species
GGGACUGCGUUACUGCAUCAAUUCCGCGGCAUUGAAACUCGAGCCCAAGUAAACCGGGCGUAAACACGUCUCUCUUUCAGAGAAAAUUUGAAUCCGCGCGGCUUGUCUCAGGCCGCGCGGCUCCUAUCUCUGCGUUCCGUUCGUACGCGAACGGUAAAAAACGCCAACAAGAAACGCGCCCAAAGAACUUCUGCAUUUUAAGGAAUUCAUGAUGUC